rnacentral:rRNA from 1 species
CUUGGUCAUUUAGAGGAAGUAAAAGUCGUAACAAGGUCUCCGUAGGUGAACCUGCGGAGGGAUCAUUACAGAGAACAUCGCCCUCACGGGUGACUCUCCAACCCUAUGUUAUUAAAACUUUGUUGCUUUGGCGAGCCGCUUCGGCCACCGGCAUCUGCUGGUGUGUGCUCGCCAGAGGACCACAAAACUCUGUUUAUUAAUGUCGUCUGAGUACUAUAUAAUAGUUAAAACUUUCAACAACGGAUCUCUUGGUUCUGGCAUCGAUGAAGAACGCAGCGAAAUGCGAUAAGUAAUGUGAAUUGCAGAAUUCAGUGAAUCAUCGAAUCUUUGAACGCACAUUGCGCCCCGUGGUAUUCCGCGGGGCAUGCCUGAUCGAGCGUCAGUACAACACUCAAGCUCUGCUUGGUAUUGGAUCGUACCGGUAAAACGGUCGGUCUUAAAAUCAGUGGCGGUGCCAUCGUGCUCUAAGCGUAGUAAUACUCCUCGCUACAGGGUCUCGGUGUGUGCUUGCCAACAACCCCCCAACUUUCUAAGUUUGACCUCGGAUCAGGUAGGGAUACCCGCUGAACUUAAGCAUAUCAAUAAGCGGAGGAAAAGAAACCAACAGGGAUUGCCUCAGUAACGGCGAGUGAAGCGGCAACAGCUCAAAUUUGAAAUCUGGGUCUUUCAGGCUCCGAGUUGUAAUUUGUAGAAGAUGCUUCGGGUGUGGCUCCGGUCUAAGUUCCUUGGAACAGGACGUCAUAGAGGGUGAGAAUCCCGUAUGUGACUGGUUGCCUUCGCCCAUGUGAAGCUCUUUCGACGAGUCGAGUUGUUUGGGAAUGCAGCUCAAAAUGGGUGGUAAAUUUCAUCUAAAGCUAAAUAUUGGCCAGAGACCGAUAGCGCACAAGUAGAGUGAUCGAAAGAUGAAAAGCACUUU